CCUACGCGUGGCAGCAGUGGGGAAUAUUGGACAAUGGGGGAAACCCUGAUGCAGCGACGCCGCGUGAGUGAAGAAGUAAUUCGUUAUGUAAAGCUCCAUCAGCAGGGAAGAAAAUGACGGUACCUGAGUAAGAAGCCCAGGCUAAAUACGUGCCAGCAGCCGCGGUAAUACGGAGGGGGCAAGCGUUAUCCGGAUGUACUGGGGGUAAAGGGAGCGUAGUCGGCAGUGCAAGUCUGGGGUGAAAGGCCGGGGCUCAACCCCCGGACUGCUCUUGAAACUGGACGGCUGGAGUGCAGAAGAGGUAAGUGGAAUUCAUGGUGUAGCGGUGAAAUGCGUAGAUAUUAGAAGGAACACCGGUGGCGAAGGCGGCUUACUGAACUGUAACUGACGUUGAGGCUCGAAAGCGUGGGGAGCAAACAGGAUUAGAUACCCGUGUAGUC
rnacentral:rRNA from 1 species